ensembl:snoRNA SNORA72 Small nucleolar RNA SNORA72
AUGCUUUGUACUUCAGGCCUCCAAAAUGGUAAACUGAGGACAAGCUAGACAUUUGCUAUUGUGAGACCAGGUCUGUAUCCCCGGACCUACUUCUUUACCUAGGUCUGGUUUUCUAAAUGCUGGUGACAAGC